UGCAGAAUCCCGUGAAUCAUCGAGUCUUUGAACGCAAGUUGCGCCCGAGGCCAUUAGGCUGAGGGCACGUCUGCCUGGGCGUCACGC
rnacentral:rRNA from 1 species